AUGCAUUCGUCACAUAUAGAUAGCUUAUUUGCAUUGUGCAAAAAAAAUUGUAGUCUCAAUGAUGAUGCAUACGUGUCAACGUUGGGUGUUGGCUCCAACAAUUCGCAUUGGUCUCAAACCAAUGACAUGCAUUUUGAAGACCAUGAGUUCGAGGUGGACGAGGAGGGUGAGGGCAUUAUCGACGCACCGAAAGGAAGAGCGGGCAAUUACACCAACGCCGAUGACAUCUUACUAUGCAAUACUUGGUUGCAAGUGUCGAGGGAUCCAUGCGUUGGAGGUGAUCAAAGUAGAGAUGCUUAUUGGAACCGGAUGAAGGAACACUUUGAUGCUCGCAACAUGAGUGGAAUUGACCGCUCCAACCGAUCACUUAGGUACCGGUGGUCGACAAUCAACUCAGAUUGUCAAAGGUGGGUGGCCUGUCAAAAGGUGGUUGACAAGUUGAACCCAAGUGGCACAAAUGAGGACAAUAGAGUAAGUGCCAUUUCAUGUUACAUGUUGGUGCUAACUUGCUUUGUUUUGCUUGUUGUUGGUGCUAACUUGCUUUGUUUUCAUGUAGUACAACAUUGCGCAAAACUUGUUCAAAGAAGAGGAGAGGAAAACCAAGAAGGGGAAGAUCAAGAAAGGAAGGUAUUUACUUUGCCUCAUUGCUAUGAAGUGUUGAAGGAUGAUGAGAAAUGGAAGAAGCGUGAAGAUUUGGAUGAUUUGCAUUUGAGCGACAAACGGAAGCGAACAAGUAAGUUGGAUGAUGAUGAUGAUGAGGAUGAUGCAUCAAGUGAUGACGACAAGAGAAGCCCCACACCCAACUCGGUUUCAUAA
rnacentral:rRNA from 1 species